CCGAAACCACCGGCCAGACCCGCCUGAACCACGUGCCGAGCAUGCCAGAACCACCUGCUUGACUCGCCGGAACCACCUACCUGACGCACCAAAAUCACCUUCCGGUUAUGCCAGAACCACUUGGUGGACACUCCAGAAUCAUAUGCCGGACAUGCCAGAACCAGCUCUCAGACACACCAGAACCACGUGCCGGAGACGCGGGAAGCACCUGCUGAGCAUGCCUGAGCCACCUGCUCGACUCGCAAGAAACACCUGCCGGACACGCCAAAAUCACCUGCUGGGUACGCCAGAACCACUUGGCGUACACUCCGGAAUCACCUGUCAGGCAUGCCAGAAACACCUCUCAGACUUGCCAGAACCAUGUUCCAGACAUGCCGGUACCACCUGAGGAGCAUGCCGGAACCACCUGAUCCACACCCCAGAACCAUCUGCUGGACACGCCAAGAUCACCUGCCGGCUACGACACAGCCACUUGUCGGACACUCCGGAAUCACCUGCCGGGCAUGCUGGAACCACCUCUCAGAGUUGCCACAACCACAUGCCGGAGACGGCCGAAGCACCUGCCGAGAAUGCCGGAAGUUCCUGAUCCACUCCCCAGAACCACCUGCCGGACACGGCAAAAUCACCUUCCGGCUAUGCCAGAACCACUUGGCAGACACUCCAGAAUCACCAGCCGGGCAUGCCAGCACAACCUCUCAGAAGUGCCAGAAGCACGUGCCAGACAGGCCGCAACCAUCUCCCGGAAAGACCGGAACCACAGGAAACACUCGCCGGAAUGACCUGCUCGACUCACCAGAGCCACCUGCCGGACACACCAGAAACACCUGCUGGCUACGCCAGAACCACUUGGCGGACACUCCGGAAUCACCUGUCGGGCAUGCCGGAACCACCUCUCAGACUUGCCAGAACCAUGUUCCGGACUCGCCGGUACCACCUGCCGAGUAUCCCGGAACCACCUGAUCCACUCCUCAGAACCACCUGCCGGACACGCCAAAAUCACCUGCCGGCUAUGCCAGAACUGCUCGGCAGACACUCCGGAAUCACCUGCCGGGCAUGCCGGAACCACCUCUCAGAGGUGCCACAACCACGUGCUGGAGAGUCCAGAAGCAACUGCCGAGCACGCCGGAACCACCUGCUCGACUCCCCAGAACCACCUGCCGGACACGCCAAAAUCACCUGCCGGCUACGCCACAACCAGUUGGUGAACACUUCAGAAUCACCUGCUGCGCUUGCCGGAACCACCUGCCGGUCACACCAAAAUCACCUGCCGGCUACGCCAGAACCACUCGGCAGAGACUCCGGAACCACCUCCAGGACAGACUGGAAUCAACUGCUGGACACGCUGAGACCACCUGCUUGACUCUCCAGAACCACCUGCCGGACCCGCCAAAAUCACCAGCCGGCUACGCCACAACCACUUGUCGGACACUCCGGAAUCACCUGCCGGGCAAUUGGAACCACCUCUCAGAGGUGCCACAACAACAUACCGGAGACGGCGGAAGCACCUGCCGAGAAUGCCGGAAGUUCCUGAUCCACUCCACAGAACCACCUGCUGGACACGCCAAAAUCACCUGCCAGCUACGCCACAACCAGUUGGUGAACACUUCAGAAUCAACUGCCGUGCUUGCUGGAAGCACCUGCCAGUCAUGCCAAUAUCACCUGCCAGCUACGCCAGAACCACUUGGCGGACACUCCGGAAACACCUGUCUGGCCUGCCGGAACCACCUGCUCGACUCGCCAGAACCACCUGCCGGACACGCCAAAAUCACCUGUCGGCUACGCCAGAACAACUUGGCAGACACUACGGAAUCACCUUGCGGCAUGCCAGAACCACCUCUCAGACACACCAGAACCACAUGGCGGAGACGCCGGAAGCACCUGCUGAGCAAGCCAGAGCCAGCUGCUUGACUCCCAAAAACACCUGCCGGACACGCCAAAAUCACCUGCCGGGUACGCCAGAACCACCAGGUGGAUACUCUGGAAUCAUCUGCCAGACAUGCCAGAACCAGCUCUCAGACACACCAGAACCCCGUGCCGGAGACGCCGGAAGCACCUGCUGAGUGUGCCUAAGCCACCUGCUCGACUCCCAAAAACACCUGCCGGACACGCCAAAAUCACCUGCCGGCUACGCCAGAACAACUUGGGAGACACUCCAGAAUCACCUGUCGGGCAUGCCGGAAGCACCUCUAAGACUCUCCAGAACCACAUGCCAAUGACACCAGAAGCACCUGCCGAGCACGCCGGAACCAAACUGCUCGACUUGCCAGAAUCACCUGCCGGACACGCCAAAAACUCUUGCCGCCUAGGCCACAACCAGUUGGUGAACACUUCGGAAUCAGCUGCCGGGAUUGCUGGAACCACCUGCCGGUCACGCCAACAUCACAUGCCAGGUACGCCAGAACCACUUGGACACUCCGGAAAAACCUGUCGGGCCAGCCGGAACCACCUCUCAGACUUGCCAGAACCAUGUACCGGACAAGCCAGUACCACCUGCCGAGUAUGCCGGGACGACCUGAUCCACUCCACAGAACCACCUGCUGGACACGCCAAAAUCACCUGCCGGCUACGCCAGAACCACUCGGCAGACACUCCGCAACCACCUCCAGGACAGACCGGAACCACCUGUCGGACACGCCGGGAACACCUGCUUGAGUCGCCAGAACCACCUGCCGGACACGCCAAAAUCACCAGCUGGCUACGCCACAACCACUUGUCGGACACUCCGGAAUCACCUGCCGGGCAUGCUGGAACCACCUCUCAGAGGUGCCACAACCACAUGCCGGAGACCGCGGAAGCACCUGCCGAGAAUGCUGGAUGUUCCUGAUCCACUCCACAGAACCACCUGCCGGACACACCAAAAUCACCUGCCGGGUAUGCCAGAACCACUUGGUGGACACUCCGAAAUCAUCUGCCGGACAUGCCAGAACCAGCUCUCAGACACACCAGAAACACGUGACGGAGACGCCGGAAGCACCUGCUGAGCAUGCCUGAGCCACCUGCUCGACUCGCAAGAAACACCUGCCGGACACGCCAAAAUCACCUGCCCGCUACACCAGAACCAGUUUGCGGACAAGCCGGAAUCACGUAACUGGCAUGCCGACACAACCUCUCAGACUUGCCAGAACCUCGUGCUGGACACCCCAGGACCACCUGGCGGACAGACCGGAACCACAUGCCAGACACGCCGGAACCACCGGCUCGACUCGCCGGAACCACCACCGGACAUGCAAAAUCACCUGCCGGCUACACCAGAACUGCUUGGCGAACACUCCAGAAUCACCAGCCGUGCAUGCCGGAACCACCUCUCAGACAUCCCAGAACCACAUGCCAAUGACACCGGAAGCACCUGCUCGACUCGCCAGAACCACCUGCCAUACAUGCCAAAAGCACCUGCCGGCUACGCCACAACCAGUUGGUGAACACUUCAGAAUCACCUGUCAGGCUUUCUGGAACCACCUGCCGGUCACAACAACAUCACCUGCCAGCUGCGCCAAAACCAUUUGGCGGACACUCCAGAAUCACCUGCCGGGCAUGCCCGUAAAACCUCUCAGAAGGGCCAGAAGCACAUACCCGACAGACCAGAACCAUCUCCCGGACAGACCGGAACCACAGGAAACACUCGCCAGAACCACCUGCUUGUCUCACCGGUCCCUCCUCGCGGACACGCCAAAAUCACCUGCCCACUACACCAGAGCCACUUGCCGGACAAGCCGGAAUCACGUGAAGGGCCUGCCAACACAACCUGUCAGACGUGCCAGAACCUCGUGCCGGACACCGCAGAACCACCUGCCGGACAGACUGGAACCACCUACCGGACACGCCGGACCCACCAGCUCGACGCACCGGAACCACCGCUGGACAUGCAGAAUCACCUGCCGGCUACGCCAGAACCUAUUGGCGAACACUCCGGAAUCAACUGCCGGGCAUGCCGGAACCACCUCUCAGACAUGCCGGAACCACAUGCCAAUGACACCGGAAGCACCUGCCGAGCACGCCGGAACCACCUGCUCGACUCGCCAGAACCACCUACCUGACACACCAAAUCACCUGCCGGGUAUGCCAGAACCACUUGGUGCACCUUCCGGAAUCACCUGUCGGGCAGGUGGAACCACCUCUCAGACUUGCCAGAACCAUGUUCCGGACACGUCGGUAUCACCUGCCACGCAUGCCGGAACCACCUCUCAGACGUGCCAGAAACACGUGCCGGACACGCUGGAAACACCUACCGGACAGACCGGAACCACCUGCCAGACAUGCCGGAACCACCUGCCGAGCACGCCGGAGCC
ensembl:lncRNA